AAUGGUAGCUAAUAGAUAUAGAGGUCCACAAUCUUUGUUGUUUUUUUUAAACUAGGGGAUGUUAAUGUAUAUUGGGAAGAAUAUACAUUAAUUAUCAAAUAAAAUAGAUAGGCU
rnacentral:miRNA from 1 species